GUGUUAUCAGUCCAUGCUUAGAUAGUUGGACACAUUUUUACACAAGGAGCAUGGCUGCGGCGUUGAUUGUGUUGGAAAAUUUGGAAGCAAGGCGGGCUUUACGACGGCAGCGUGUGUUUAGAGAUCGUCUACAACCGCUUGACGUCUAUGAUGACGUAGAUUUGUACAGACGAUACCGGAUGACUCGGCCGGUCCUUCUCGAAGUUAUCGACCUGUUGCAGGAUGACAUUGCCCCGUAUACGCUGCGCUCGCACGCCGUUCCAGCAACUCUCCAAGUUUGCGUUGCGCUUAGAUAUUUUGCUACUGGCAGUUUGCAGUUGGACAAUGGAGACAUGUCAAAUGGCUUGAGUCAUUUCCUCGAACAGCUGCUGAGCAAGAACGUCAGAAGGAAGGAUUUUAUACAGAACGCCAUCGGAUUCCGAACGUUAUUGGCUGCGUAGAUGGAUCCCUUAUUCCGAUCAAAUGUCCAUCCGUAAACGAGAAUGCAUACGUGUGCAGGAAACAGUGGCAUGCCAUUAAUGUGCAGGGGAUUUGUACUUAUGAUUUGAAAUUUUCAAAUAUAGUAGCCCGAUGGCCAGGUGCCACCCAUGAUGCGUUUAUCUGGUCCAACUGCAAUUUAAAGGUGAAGAUGGAACGCGGCCUGAAUGAUGGAGGAUACUUGCUCGGUGACAGUGCCUACCCACUUAGACCCUGUCUCAUGACCCCAGUCUCCCGCCCAGCAGAUGCAGCGGACAGACAAUACAACGUUCACCACAGGCGAGUACGAAACAUCAUUGAACGAACCUUUGGAAGAUGGAAAAACCGAUGGAGGUGCUUGCACAAAGAAGGUGGAACUCUUCGAUUAAGCCCCGAGAAGUGUUGCUCGGUGAUCAUUGCAACAUCUGUGCUACAUAACAUCUGUGAAAACCACGGCCUCCCUGUCCCAAACGACCCACCAGCCAAUGUGGAUAAUCCCGAUGAUGACGUCAACAAUAGACCAAUCCUCGAUGUCGAUGUCGAAGAAAGAGGUGUUGGAGAAAGGGCACGCUUGAUAGAUCAGCAUUUCAGGAAUAUGUAAUGAAGCCGUUGUUCUUCCACGUCAAGUCGCUUGCUCUCGAUUUUGACCCGUUCCUUCUCCACAUCAAUUAGUUCAACGGCAUGUGAAAGCUUCUUAUCUGCGAGAGACAAACCAGUUGAAGACGCCUUGGAAGAGCCAGCAGUGGGACGACAGCUCUUGGGUUGUCGGGCAGGACUUGGCGGCGGUGAAGGGGAUCGGGUGUCAUCUUCUGAGCUGCUAUCGUUCGGGCGCGUGA